UCUACUUAUCAAACAGAUUGAUUUCCCCAGAAAUAUUCAGUGAGUGAAGCCAAAAUUGAAGGAGCAGAGGAUUGAAUGCCAGGUUGCUAACAAACUCCCUCUCGCUAGGAACAGGGCAAUCUGAAAGAAAAAAUGUUCCUGGCCCUUGGUGCAUGAUCCCUUGGUGUAUUAAAUUUGGAAGGAGUG